GAUGAACGCUAGCGGCAGGCUUAAUACAUGCAAGUCGUGGGGCAGCAUGAAUGUAGCAAUACAUUUGAUGGCGACCGGCAAACGGGUGCGGAACACGUACACAACCUUCCGAUAAGUGGGGAAUAGCCCAGAGAAAUUUGGAUUAAUACCCCGUAACAUAUAGAGGUGGCAUCAUCUUUAUAUUAUAGCUACGGCGCUUAUUGAUGGGUGUGCGGCUGAUUAGAUAGUUGGCGGGGUAACGGCCCACCAAGUCUACGAUCAGUAGCUGAUGUGAGAGCAUGAUCAGCCACACGGGCACUGAGACACGGGCCCGACUCCUACGGGAGGCAGCAGUAAGGAAUAUUGGUCAAUGGACGCAAGUCUGAACCAGCCAUGCCGCGUGAAGGAUUAAGGUCCUCUGGAUUGUAAACUUCUUUUAUCUGGGACGAAAAAAGGCGAUUCUUCGUCACUUGACGGUACCAGAUGAAUAAGCACCGGCUAACUCCGUGCCAGCAGCCGCCGUAAGAC
rnacentral:rRNA from 1 species